rnacentral:sRNA from 1 species
AUUGCGUUAGCGAUAGUAGUGGCAUCCUUUUUUUGCUAACUGUACUUUGAUUUUUAGUCUAUAGGUAGUUGCAAAAAAAAGAUAUAACGGAUAGCGCGACCCUUG